ACGCACGCUGGCGGCAUGCCUAACACAUGCCAGUCGAACGAGACCUUCGGGUCUAGUGGCGCACGGGUGCGUAACGCGUGGGAACCUGCCCUUAGGUUCGGAAUAACUCCCCGCAAGGGGUGCUAAUACCGGAUAAUGUCUUCGGACCAAAGAUUUAUCGCCUUUGGAUGGGCCCGCGUUGGAUUAGCUAGUUGGUAGGGUAAAAGCCUACCAAGGCGACGAUCCAUAGCUGGUCUGAGAGGAUGAUCAGCCACACUGGGACUGAGACACGGCCCAGACUCCUACGGGAGGCAGCAGUGGGGAAUAUUGGACAAUGGGCGAAAGCCUGAUCCAGCAAUGCCGCGUGAGUGAUGAAGGCCUUAGGGUUGUAAAGCUCUUUUACCCGGGAUGAUAAUGACAGUACCGGGAGAAUAAGCUCCGGCUAACUCCGUG
rnacentral:rRNA from 1 species